GACAGAGGAUGCAAGCGUUAUCCGGAAUGAUUGGGCGUAAAGCGUCUGUAGGUGGCUUUUUAAGUCCGCCGUCAAAUCCCAGGGCUCAACCCUGGACAGGCGGUGGAAACUACCAAGCUGGAGUACGGUAGGGGCAGAGGGAAUUUCCGGUGGAGCGGUGAAAUGCGUAGAGAUCGGAAAGAACACCAGUGGCGAAGGCGGCGACCUGGGUCUAAACUGACACUGAGGUGCGAAAGCGUGGGGAGCAAACAGGG
rnacentral:rRNA from 1 species